UACAGAGGUCCCGAGCGUUGUUCGGAUUCACUGGGCGUAAAGGGUGCGUAGGUGGUUGGGUAAGUCUGAUGUGAAAUCUCCGGGCUCAACCCGGAAAUGGCAUUGGAUACUAUCUGGCUAGAGGUUUGGAGGGGGGACUGGAAUUCUCGGUGUAGCAGUGAAAUGCGCAGAUAUCAGGAGGAACACCGGUGGCGAAGGCGGGUCUCUGGGCCGAUACUGACGCUGAGGAGCGAAAGCGUGGGGAGCGAACAGG
rnacentral:rRNA from 1 species